CAGGUGGUGCAGUGGCUAGCAUUAUUGCCUCACAGCAAAAAGGUCCUGAGUUCGACUCCACCAUUUUGCUGUGUUGAGUUUGCAUGUUCUCCGAGUGUUUGUGUGGGUACUCUAGCUUCCUAGAAGAUUCUGGUUUUUAAUUUGGCUUUAAGUGCACAUCCUCAUUCAAUUUACAGGUAAAGGUCAAGGUUUUCAUACAGGUUAAGGUUUUCAUCUUUAAAGGUCUUUGAGAUAUUAAUGUUCAAACACUGCUUUAGUUUUAAAUGUGUAAAAAAACAAACAAACAAACACACAAAAAAACCCCACCUCCUACUAAAAAAAACUUUAUACUUUUUCAUUUAUAUUAAAAUACAUUUAGACACACCUGUCAGUUUGGGAGCUGCAUGCCCAUCUAGCUCCUAGCUACUGUCAUUUUCUUUUUAAAACGGAAAAUUAAGUUCACACAUCAUCUUGGCAUAGUGCACAUGCCUACACA